GAGAGUAUAGCUCAGUGGUAGAGCGCAUGCCUAGCAUGCACAAGAUCCUGGGUUCAAUCCCCAGUACCUCCA
rnacentral:tRNA from 1 species